AACUGACUCUGCUGGCUCUGGCUUCGUACGAUUGUGACGGAGCAUUGCUUGGACGGGAGCCAGCUGUGCGCCUGCCUGUCUUUUUACCCCUGGACGAUAAACUCGGCUACCCUGUGCGAGUAUCUGCCGUUGGGCUCAGGAGGUUCAGACAUUAGUCAUCUACUCAAGGCACUGGAGGGGACUGCAUCCAUUACGUUUAAUCAAAAGCUCUCUCCAUGAUUUGUUUUCGAGGGAAUUAUCGAGGGGAUUAACUGCCAUUUAUCUUGGACUACUCUAGGAAGCUCAUCGGGGGUGGGAUUGUCUACACUUUUCUACCGUCAACAUCAAACUUGAUACUGAUGUCUUUUUAUUGUCGCCAAGUGAUUAAUACAUCGUCAGUUCUAUAUCUCUGGGAGCAGGUCGUCUCCCUCCAGGGGGUGGGCUUUCCGUGGUUGAACUGGAGAAGGCCAGCCACCGCUAUCAUUACUCCAUUAUCUAUGCAGAACCUCUCGUCAGUGGCAUAAAGUUUUGCCGAGCGCUCUUUGCACAUUAUUUCCAUCAUGGCUUGUAGGCGCUCGUUGCAGCCCACGCCACCGACUAUCAGCACUUCGUUGGAGCCCACGUGAGCCAUUGCUCUUUCUAGAAUAGCACAGGACAAUAUUUAUCAUUGAAUCGUCACGACAGAGAAGAGAAUUCUGAAGACAAAAUCAGGAUGGAAAUUUAUUAAAAUUUUUUGGAAAAUGUGA